CAGCGGCGGCUGGCGAGGUGCCGGCGACGAGUGCUUCCAGUGUGGAGGCGCGGAUCUGUGCAGCGGUGGCUGUAACACCAGGAGGGAGUGCAGAUAGGCCGCAAGUAUCUGAACACUCGAUAGAGCAAACUGAUCCACAGACGCCCGGCUAGACACAAAGGGUCAGGGUUGGUGCUGUAGCACCAGGCCGUGCCCCCUAUCCAGGUAGGAUGACAACAUUGGAGAAAUGAGUGUGCAUGUUUGCCGAGUCCCCCAAUGAUAAUGUGAUUAUGCCAAUGUUAGGCAUCAGCUUCGAUACGCUUGAAGAUGCCUAUGAUUUUUACAAUCUGUAUUCAUGGGAGAAAGGAUUCAGCAUUAGAUCCGGUGCUUUCCCAUAGCUACAAUAGUGCACGCAGUAAAUGCAGAAGUUGGGGCGCUAAGAGCAGCUGUCUCCUACCUCACAAAGUUGGAUCUAUCGUUCUUGAAGAUGGCGAACCCAUAGAGGAACCUCCUGCGGGGACUGGGUGCUUCAGCGAGCAUGGAGUUCUUGAUCCAGCCGAUAAAUAGAGUGCAGGUUGGUGCUGCCACGCUAGGCAGAGCUCCACGCCUUGAUAUGAUUACAGCACUGGAGAAAUCAAUCUGAAGAUUUGCAGAAGAACCAGGUGAUUGUGCCAAAGAUAGGAACACGUUUUGACACAUUUUGGUGAGGCCUAUGAUUUUUACAAUUUAUAUACGUGGGAGAAUGGAUUCGGCAUUAGAUACGGAAAGAACAGGCUAAAUGUAAACCGGAAAAAUGCAUGAAAGAGAUAGUCUGUGGUUGCGCAGUAUGCCAUUGUGUUUGCAAUGUUCUAUAAUUUUUCAGUUCACCAUGUGGAAGUUGUGAUGAAGUUAACUGACUUUGAUUUAUCAAAAUUUUAACAGGGGAAACAAAUAGUUGAAAAUACUCGGUCUUGCCGCUGUUAAUGCCCUACCCUCAUAAGAUUGUUACAGUUAAAGGACAACAGAAGCAUCGAGAUGAGCACCAUUCAUUGUCUCCCACGAACGGACAGAUAAUACACUUGCCAUCACACAAGCAUAUCGAUGUGUACAUCAGAGGUCUCGUGAAGCAGUUGUGGCAAAAACAAUGACAACUUAUCGAGAAUGGGGAUGUCGUGAACCAGGUUCACCCAGAAGGUGCAGAGAUGGGACAGGGAGGCAGAAUGCCUACUGUUAUGAGGAAAUGAGGAACGAUGAUAACACUUUAGCCAAUCAGUUGGGUGAUAUGUUGACAGGCUUAUUGCCUCCAGCUAAGAGGAAGGAGACGGGAAAGCCUAUGGCAAGCAGAUAAAAGCACUGUAUGAGGGACUAACUAAGAUAACAAGAUUUUGCAUGAUUUUUGGUGACAAGCACACAAACAGAUACCCUGUCCUGAUCGUGGGGAUGUACCAAAACAGCCUCGGAAGCCAGGAAGAUGCAAGAAUUGUGGCAUUGAAGGCCAUCAUCGAUACAACUACCACAAAGCGGUUGAGCUCAGGCUGAAGAGCUGAUCUGAUCUUGUUUUGUUUAGAUGCGGCACUUUGCUUGCCAAAAUUUAAGCUGCCUUGUACCUGACUACUAAGCUGUGUUCUUUCUGAAUAAUUAGAACUUGUCUGUAAAACAUCUGCACUGUAAAAUGGUUGUGCUUUGCAUGAAGAUCUUCCUGUGUUGCUGAUA